rnacentral:rRNA from 1 species
AUUGAACGCUGGCGGCAGGCCUAACACAUGCAAGUCGAACGGUAACAGGAAACAGCUUGCUGUUUCGCUGACGAGUGGCGGACGGGUGAGUAAUGUCUGGGAAACUGCCUGAUGGAGGGGGAUAACUACUGGAAACGGUAGCUAAUACCGCAUAACGUCGCAAGACCAAAGAGGGGGACCUUCGGGCCUCUUGCCAUCGGAUGGUCCCAGAUGGGAUUAGCUAGUAGGUGGGGUAACGGCUCACCUAGGCGACGAGCCCAUAGCUGGUCUGAGAGGAUGACCAGCCACACUGGAACUGAGACACGGUCCAGACUCCUACGGGAGGCAGCAGUGGGGAAUAUUGCACAAUGGGCGCAAGCCUGAUGCAGCCAUGCCGCGUGUAUGAAGAAGGCCUUCGGGUUGUAAAGUACUUUCAGCGGGGAGGAAGGGAGUAAAGUUAAUACCUUUGCUCAUUGACGUUACCCGCAGAAGAAGCACCGGCUAACUCCGUGCCAGCCGCCGCCGUAA